UUUAACGGAUCUCACGAAGUGGUUGAAUGUGCGGGAAUUACUUGGUAUUAAAUACUUUCUUCUGCAGUAUGUACAAGGUGAAUAUUAAAUUAUUACAAUUUUAAUGUGACCAUAAACAAAUGCAGCUUAAAGUUUUUAUAGACAGUGUUUGACUAUGACUAUUCUAAGUUAGAUGUCCUUUGUGCAGGCAUUCUGAUUUUGCGAAACAAAUAAGUUAACGAAGGGAUUUUUUUUUUAAUUCAAAGAUGAUUUUGAAGGAGUCCAACGGACUUCCUUGACACAAAACAAAGAGCCCGAGUCUCAUUUUAAGGAGUUUCUGACUACCGGACUCCCGUUAGUGUCGGACACUGUCGGAUAGUCACAACGCGAUUCGACAAAAGAUGUCUGCUGUCCGCGAACAAAGCUCGGACACAGCAUUAACGAGACAAGAAAUAUGUAACGUUGACAUCGACAUGAAUAAGCAAUCCAGCGGCGUUAAUACGUUUGAAAAGGUAUUCUCAGAUAUAAGAUCUGCAGCGAAGGAAAUGAUUCCCCGGAUGCAGGAACCAAGUGAUAUGCGUUCGCUUGAGGAAAAAACAGCGAUUUUUGAGUCAUCAUUGAGACAAGCGGAAAAGAUUUUCAAAGAUCAGGAUUCUCAUUACCGACGUCUGUUGGAAAGGUGCUGUGUUCUGGAAGCAGCUGCUAGCCAGG